rnacentral:rRNA from 1 species
CCAAUAGCGUAUAUUAAAGUUGUUGCAGUUAAAAAGCUCGUAGUUGAAUUUCGGGAUUGACGUGAUGGUCAUGCCUUAAGGGGUAUGAACUGUUGCUGUUGAUUUCUCACCUUCUGGAGAAACUUGAUGUCCUUUAUUGGGUGUCUUGCGGAUCCAGGACCUUUACCUUGAAAAAAUUAGAGUGUUUAAAGCAGGCAUUUUUGCUCGAAU